AAGCAUCAACAUAAUCCAUAUUUUGUCAGUCACAGAGCUCCAAAUUGCCAUAAUAUUCGAGGCCAAUGCACUAUGCAUUUAGCAUCAAAGACAUGUCGGGUGAUUCUCAGAACAGCCCUAUAACUACUGCAUCGUGCUUCUGUCAUCAAAAUAAAGCUCUAUCGAAAUUGAGAGGCAACUGUUAUUUGGCAUAGUUUUGCAUAUUUUGUCAAAUUCGUAGAGGCAAUUCCAACUACUUUUGUGUAUUAAACAAGAAAACUAACAACUAAUGUGUAUCAAAGGCAAGAACUAUUAGUUUCUUUAGGUGAGGAAGAAAGAAGAUUACUUCUGCCAAAAGAGAAAUAUAUUUUAAGAAAAUGUAUCUUUACAAUAAUGGAGUCCCUAGGUUGCUAACAUAGGCCAGGACUGACAAUUGUACAAUUAUAAAUGGCCAGAUAGGUACAUACCCCACAGGAAUCACAACCUGCUCCAAUGUGGACUUUAUGGUCACCCCACCAUGAGAAUGCAUUCUCCCCCGAUGAAGUUAACAAGUCAGAAUUCUCUUUAGCAGGUUCUGAUGAACCUGAAAUGCAUGCUGAUAUUAUCAAAAUUUGCAGACAACAUACCAAAAUACUCAGUGCAGCACAAAGACCUUAGAAAUUUCAAGCUUUGUGGGUAAAUCAUCAAAAUACUCGGUGCAGCACAAAUACAUCAGGCAAUGAAUGCCACUGAUAAUUACUAAAGAAGUAUAAAAAGCACAGACAGAAACAGCAACAUAGAAAGAAAAUGGAAUGCUAAACAGAAAGUUUUGGUGAAUUUUGCCCCAAAUAAAACAGAUCAGAAGCUUUUUGGCCAUUCAGCACCACUUUUUCAACUUCAGGAUUGUAAAACUAGUUACAUUGGAAAAAACAAUAACUGACAAAUCCGCAUCUUCAGAAAUAGAUCACCAGGCACUAUCUAAUCAUAGCCAGUUAGUAAACGAGAAACAACCCUUCUCCUUUACUUUCUCUAUAAUCCUCACCUCUCAUUUCCACUGACAGCAAAUCAAACAAGCCAGGAGCACUUUAACAGCUUAGAGCUUAUGGAGUUUUUUGGAUAGGGAGAUUAGACGAAGUACAUAGAGCAAAAUGAUCGGGAUAAAACUACUCAACAGUGUGUUUAUGAUCAGGACAUAAAACAAGGAAAAAAAAAUUUAUCAGGAGCAUACAUGUGCUUAGAUUUUCUCGCUGAGAACAGGACUGCUUAAGCUGAAUAAUACUUCUUCUUAGUGCAUAGUCCGCCGGAAAUUGUUCCUUGAGAAAAUUAUCAAAUUCCAAGCAGACUUUUGGAGUUUGUCCUGGAUGUCUGCUUUCACACUUUUGGCACUUGACUGUCUCAUUGGUUUGGGUAACAAUGCAACUUUCACAAUAAGCUGACAAAAUUCAGAGGAGACAGAAACAACAAACUGAGGUAAGUAGCUAAUGGAGCAGGAGUUGAGACACAUGUUACAAAUGGGAAGACUUAAAUGGGCACAGAUUCUAUUCCAUCCUACCAUCACUGCACCUAUACGAGGAAAUAAUGAUGAUACAUACCAUGGCCACAAUUAAGAACAACAGGAUGAUAGAGGAGUUGAUUGCACAAAGUGCACAGUGCGUCAUCAACUGAAAUUGGUUGGCGGGUUCCAUUGGCAAUCCCUUGGUGCAGUUUGUCACCGCGGUCAACAAUGGAACUAGUUGCUUCAAUAUCUCCCACAGCCAUUUUUAGAUUUUCUUGAUCAAUUAAUCCUGAUUCUGGUUGCUCCAUAUUAAACAUAACUUUGCUGUUGCCGCUACAACUUGGAUCUUUGGACAAGUCCAAUGAAGAAAUUUCAGAUCUUUGAGAACUAUCUGUGUGAUUUAAUUCUUGUUCAGUUUGUGGCACGCGUACAGGACCAUUAAACUGUGGUGAGAAGCAGUCCUGUUCCUUUUCAUAUUCUGGAAUAUGCAAAAUCAUUAAUUUUGUUAAACCACAUUACUUCAAUAAUAAUAACAACCCCAAUUAAAGCCAGCCACAACAAACUUGACCUCGGAUUUGAAUCUCCCUUCUCUGAUAUGCAACAGGAUACAUCUUGAAGAGUAAGAAGUGCAGCAUUUGGCAAAUAGUGGGAAAAUGAUGAUAAGGAUGUCUGCAGCGAGGACAAUGAGACUCGCGUAGACCACUCAUGGACUUCUGAACACACCAGAAACAGGAAAUGUGGCCACACACUGCAAAUAGAGAAAAGAGCCAUAAGACAGGACAAAGGAUAACAGCAAUUGCACCAUGAGAGCAACAUCUCACCCAGAACAACAGGCUUGUAGAGAAGCUGCCUGCACAAAGAAUUAAUGCCAAAUCAUAAGAAAGGCGGUGGCAACCCAAAAAAAAAAUGUAAGAAAGGUCUGUCAAACAAUAUAGUCUAGCGUGCACUAUAAAAUACACAUUUUACAAUGCGAUCUUCUACUGGAACUUCGCCAGUAGCAGUCACUAGCAUUAUAUUCCAAGUACCAUAUUUCUCUCUCGAUGAUAAUCAGAAGACAAAUUGACAUUUGAGAGGCUUAAAUUGUAAGUUUCCGUUUGAGAAAUGCAGAACCAGAUGACAGAAAAUUAGCAAGACUUAAUACGGGCUCACUGUUCUAAAUGCAACCAUGAUGAAUUUCUGAAACAACUAAUUCAUACCAACCACAAGAAAAAUAGAAGCCUUUUUCCUUUUUUUUUUUUUAGAAAAAUUGGUCUUUUGACAAUAAUCCAGUCCAAAUACAUCGUCCAUUAUUAUGCUGUACAAUAAUUCGUGCUUAUAAUAUUUAAUUUGAAUGUUUCAGUUUCAUUACCAAACUAACCUACCAAAAGAGGGGGAGAAAAAGAAAAGGAAAAACAAAGACACAGCAAGGAUGAAAUUUGGCCGACAUUUCCCUCUCUUUGUAAACAUCAGAUAAUAGCAUAUAAAUCCUGAGAUAACCAAUUCCUCCGCAAAUUCGAGUAAUUAAUAAUCCUCGCCAAGAAAAAAAGAUUUCCAGUAAUAAUUCUUUUCAUAGAAAACAGUCCAGCUCAUAAUUGCACGAAACAAAAUGCAGGCAACAGAUAAAUAUCAGAAUGUUGAGUCAGAGAAGAAUUACAAGCAAACGCAGCAGAUAAAAGAUUCGGAAAUCUUCUCAGAUGAAUCAUCGUGAUAGUCUAAUCCGUCCUCUAGUAACUUCUUAACCUUGUCUGAAAUUUCCAUUUCUUCACCAGAAAAUCGGAGACCUAUUUUCGAUGUCCGGGAGGGAUGGAGCGAGAGAGAGACAUAGAGCGGACGCCCAAAGGAGAAAGGCAGACAGCCGUGAAUGGUGGCUUUCUGCAAUGGCGUGGCGGUGCUGGUUAGGAGGCCCAAUUUCUACAGUCACUGGCCCAAUGACCUUGCGUUGGUGGAGCAUUUGCAGUCCAUAUCCUUUCUUUCUGACAUUUUUUUACAGAAGUAAGAAUUUACGUAAAUAAACCUAAUCUCUACGGUAACUUCAAAAGCCGGUAACUUUUAAAGUCCUGUGAGGGACUUAUCUAUCCAAACCCUUCCCCCCAAUACCGAUGUGGAAUAGAAAACCCCACAGGUGCCCUGCUGCUAAGAGAUAAAGACCCCCCAAGCCCCUGAGAAUGAGUUUUCUUUCUGACAUUUUCUUUCAGAAGUAAGAAUUUACGUAAAUAAACAUAAUCCCCAUAGUAAUUUCAAAAGCCGACAACUUUUGAAGUCCUGUGAGGGACUUAUCUGCCCAAACCCUUCCCCCCAAUAUCGAUGUGAGAUAGAAAACCCCACAGGAUUUGCAGUCCAUAUCCAAACUCGAAUAUUUUGACAUUCCCUGACUCGGCAAUUGAAGUCUCGCCAUUCGGAGAAGCGAAAAUGAACUUUUGAAUCGCACCAAAAAAGAAAAAGAACUUUGAAAGCGAUAUCUCUUUUAUAAACUUCAAACGUCUAAUGAGCUUGAUAUUUUAGAAAAGCCCAAAAAAUGGAACACUUAAAUAAAUUUGUUAUUUUAUGAAAAAAGGUAAAUAGAUAAUAGCACAAUAACUCCAUUAGUAGCUUUUGCCCUAAAACUUAUUGACCUUAUCCCUAAGAUGGAAUUCGAGAAUAUAUAUAUAUAUAUAUAUAGCACAUACGUUCUAGACGCAUAAAUGUGCAGCUAUUCUAAAUUUCUAAUAUAUCUUAAAACUUAAAACAAUUAUCCUGUGCAGAAUCGAUUUGGUAAUUAAUACAAAUAUUUUGCUUACACGCCUUUAUCAGUUUGAAAAUUCGAUGAAUAUGGUAGGUGUUUAUUUUCAGGGAUAAUAAUGGGUAGAAUAAAAUUCGAUGACAGUAAAUAUUCGAUCUGAUGGUUUAAUCUGAUUAGAUGAGUAAUCCGUUAGAAUUUGAUAUUGAUAUGCUUUUGACCUUGCAGGCAAAAACAGUAAGUUCUACGAGGCUUUCAACAAAGGGAAUGUACAACUAUGCCUGGCAAUUGGGCUGGUAGGGUGGGUUUUGGGCGAGUUAAUGUUGGGUUUUCAUUUAAAUGGGGGUUAUAUCCAAUCCGCCCAACUUUAGAUUGGAUUAAUCUUGAGUUGGAUCAUAUUGGGUUGUUUUAAACCCAUGACCCAAAUAUGACCCAAUAUAUUAAAUAAUAGAUUUUGAUACAUAAACUCUCUCAAAUAUAUUUUCAUAUACAAAAAAAAAAAUUCACACACAUAAAUAUAUUUUCACACACUAAAACACUUACAGAUGCAAUCACACACUCACUUUUUAAGUUCUUUUGAAAUACAUUAUUUUUACACAUACAAACACACUAAAAUACACACUAAUAUGCUUUCAUAAAUACACACACAUACUAACUGUUUAAACUACUUGCAUCCAAUCACAUUUUAAAGAAAGUUAUAAACUGAAAUUUUGACCCAUAAAUGAAUCUUGUAAAUAAACUAUAGUCUCUCAUAUUUGUAAAAUAAUUUGUUCAACGAAAUUACUUAUUUAACACUAAAUUAUUAUUUUAUAAUGUGUAUAAAAAUAAAAAAUAUAUAUAUAUAUAUGUGUGAGGCAGGUCGGGUAACGCGGGUUUUUAAUUAUAUGAUCCCAGUUGAGGAAUUGUAAUUACUAACCACAAAAAUCAAUGUUUGACUAAUGAAAUCCUGCUAAUUAAUAUAAUCAAAACUCCUAUUCAUCCACUGCUGCGCGGAGCAGAAGCAGCAGAAAACGAUAUGACAAUCGGGCAUAUAGGCCAAACGGAGGAAAAAAAAAAAAACGCUUUCUCGAGAAUAUGAGGUAUAAAGCUGAGAUAAUAACCAGCUCAUUAACAAGAAAAUCUAUUAAGAGAGCUCAAUGAGUUACUAUUUUGGUACCAUGCUACUUGGUACAAGUUUAUGAGCGCCGUCAUUUUUCAGAUGAUACAUAACAUACAUGUACGACGAAAAAGGACAUCAUAAAAUUGAUUUAUUUCUGUACACAGCCCGAAGCAAAGAUCUAAUCGUAGAGGUAUGGUCGACGAUAGUCCUGCAAGUAUCACAAUCUCAAUGAGAAAACAGCAUCAAGUCUAUUCUUAAGGGAUCAUAGAUUGUGGAAGCGGAGGCCUUGAAGUGCAGAAAUUUGUACUUUGCUCCAAGAGGGGGGUUGGCAAUAAUAUUUUGUAGAACUGGAAGCGCCUUUCGUUGGUGCCAAUUUUAGAGUAUAAGAACUUAAAAGGACUAAAACCGUUUUGAGUUCCACUUGAACUACUGGUGGUUAUUCUGAUCCUCUUCGGUCUCAUUAGGGGUAGAAAAACCGCUUUCUGCAGUUUCCUGGGCAUCAUCAGACAGGGCGAGAACCACACUUUCUGAAUUUCCUGAUACAUCACUGAUAGCAUUAGGACCAGCAGAACCAUCUCCCAGCUGACCCCUCAGCAGCCUCAACAUGAUAUUGCGCAUGGAAUUCGGUCUCAUGACCUCAAACUUGUGUUCUGGGGUGUGCUGUUGAUUAAAGCGACCAGGAAGCUUCGAGCAGGUACCAUAACAAUCUCCACAUAGGUCAUAUCCUAUUAAUUCCGUGCAGUCUUUGCAUCUGUAUCUGUCCCCAAUUAUUGGAUAGAUCUGAAAGGAUAAGUUCAAGCAUCAACAUAAUCCAUAUUUUGUCAGUCACAGAGCUCCAAAUUGCCAUAAUAUUCGAGGCCAAUGCACUAUGCAUUUAGCAUCAAAGACAUGUCGGGUGAUCCUCAGAACAGCCCUAUAACUACUGCAUCGUGCUUCUCUCAUCAAAAUAAAGCUCUAUCGAAAUUGACAGGCAACUGCUAUUUGGCAUAGUUUUGCAUAUUUUGUUAAAUUCGUAGAGGCACUUCCAACUACUUUUGUGUAUUAAACAAGAAAAUUAACAACUAAUGUGUAUCAAAGGCAAGAACUAUUAGUUUCUUUAGGUGAGGAAGAAAGAAGAUUACUUCUGCAAAAAGAGAAAUAUAUUUUAAGAAAAUGUAUCUUUACAAUAAUGGAGUCCCUAGGUUGCUAACAUAGGCCAGGACUGACAACUGUACAAUUAUAAAUGGCCUGAUAGGUACAUACCCCACAGGAAUCACAACCUGCUCCAAUGUGGACUUUAUGGUCACCCCACCAUGAGAAUGCAUUCUCCCCCGAUGAAGUUAACAAGUCAGAAUUCUCUUUAGCAGGUUCUGAUGAACCUGAAAUGCAUGCUGAUAUUAUCAAAAUUUGCAGACAACAUACCAAAAUACUCAGUGCAGCACAAAGACCUUAGAAAUUUCAAGCUUUGUGGGUAAAUUAUCAAAAUACUCGGUGCAGCACAAAUACAUCAGGCAAUGAAUGCCACUGAUAAUUACUGAAGAAGUAUAAAAAGCACAGACAGAAACAGCAACAUAGAAAGAAAAUGGAAUGCUAAACAGAAAGUUUUGGUGAAUUUUGCCCCAAAUAAAACAGAUCAGAAGCUUUUUGGCCAUUCAGCACCACUUUUUCAACUUCAGGAUUGUAAAACUAGUUACAUUGGAAAAAACAAUAACUGACAAAUCCGCAUCUUCAGAAAUAGAUCACCAGGCACUAUCUAAUCAUAGCCAGUUAGUAAACGAGAAACAACCCUUCUCCUUUACUUUCUCUUUAAUCCUCACCUCUCAUUUCCACUGACAGCAAAUCAAACAAGCCAGGAGCACUUUAACAGCUUAGAGCUUAUGGAGUUUUUUGGAUAGGGAGAUUAGACGAAGUACAUAGAGC
rnacentral:lncRNA from 1 species